rnacentral:ncRNA from 1 species
CGUAUUAUGCUGCUGCCAGCCCGCAUCCCGUCUGGUUUUGAUGCGCGCGGCCUGUGUCUUAAACACGGCGCAAAACUCCUUACCGGAUUUU